rnacentral:rRNA from 1 species
AUUGAACGCUGGCGGCAUGCCUUACACAUGCAAGUCGAACGGUAACAGGUCUUCGGAUGCUGACGAGUGGCGAACGGGUGAGUAAUACAUCGGAACGUGCCCGAUCGUGGGGGAUAACGAAGCGAAAGCUUUGCUAAUACCGCAUACGAUCUACGGAUGAAAGCAGGGGACCGCAAGGCCUUGCGCGAACGGAGCGGCCGAUGGCAGAUUAGGUAGUUGGUGGGAUAAAAGCUUACCAAGCCGACGAUCUGUAGCUGGUCUGAGAGGACGACCAGCCACACUGGGACUGGGACACGGCCCAGACUCCGACGGGAGGCAGCAGUGGGGAAUUUUGGACAAUGGGCGAAAGCCUGAUCCAGCCAUGCCGCGUGCAGGAUGAAGGCCUUCGGGUUGUAAACUGCUUUUGUACGGAACGAAAAGACUCUGGUUAAUACCUGGGGUCCAUGACGGUACCGUAAGAAUAAGCACCGGCUAACUACGUGCCAGCCGCCGCCGUAA